rnacentral:lncRNA from 1 species
CUUUUGUCAUACUAAAAAAAUUAGAAAAAGGCCCCCAUAUAUUGAUAUAUGUAAAUUCAAAACUGACCGAUCAGUUUUCAGUAAAUUUAAACUAAGUGCACAUUCCCUAGCAAUUGAAAGAGGGCGUUAUACCAACAUUGAAAGAAGUAAACGCAUUUGCUUAUCCUGUAACAAACAAGAAAUUGAGGAUGAAUACCAUUUCUUCUCAAUCUGUCCAUGCUAUACAUCAUUAAGG